GAGAUUUACGAGUAGUUAUGCGAAAAUAUGUUUGGCCUUUUUCCAUACGGGAAAUUUAAAGCAGAACUAUUACCAUUCCAGCAGCUUCACGCUAUGAACUUGCUCAUCCUGGAUUUCUUAUUACCACAGCCUGAUCAAGAGAAGAGAGCAGACCACAAGAGGACCAAGGAUGUCGUGAGAAUUGAGAAAGACGGUGUCACUACUCAUGCAAGUUCA